rfam:Triticum urartu cultivar G1812 contig946886, whole genome shotgun sequence.
GGCCGUGAUGAGCACUGCUUAUUUCUGACACCUCUUGUAUGAGAAGGGACUAGUCCCUUCCAUGAGCAGAUUAGCAACCCUCUGAGCC